GGCCGUAGAUGGGAGGGCUCAGGAAGGUGGGUGCGGCCACCUGCUAGCCAGGCCUUCGGCUCCUGCUUGGGCCAGGGCGAGGAGGACAAGGGAAUGGAACAGGGGCAUGCCUGGGCCGACGGGGUUAGGAAGAGAAGGAGGGUGGGGGAGAUGGUGGGCUGGUUGGGCUAAGAAGUAAAGAAGAAGAUUUUUCAUUACUGACUUGGAAAUUUA
rnacentral:lncRNA from 1 species